GACGAACGCUGACGGCGUGCCUUAGACAUGCAAGUCGAACGAGAAAGCCCUUCGGGGUUAGUAAAGUGGCGAACGGGUGAGUGACACGUGGGCAAUCUGCCCUUCGUUGGGGGACAACCGGGGGAAACCCCGGCUAAUACCCCGUAAGCUUGUCGGGUCGCAUGGCCUGACAAGGAGAAGUAGCUUCGGCCAUCCGGCGAAGGAGGAGCCCGCGGUACAUUAGCUAGUUGGUGAGGUAAAGGCCCACCAAGGUGACGAUGUAUAGCUGGUCUGAGAGGAUGAUCAGCCACACUGGGACUGAGACACGUCCCAGACUCCUACGGGAGGCAGCAGUCGGGAAUCUUGCACAAUGGGCGAAAGCCUGAUGCAGCAACGCCGUGUGAGCGACGAAGGCCCUAGGGUCGUAAAGCUCUGUUGUUAGGGACGAAGGGCGAAGGGUUAAUAGCCCUUAGCCUGACGGUACCUUUCGAGGAAGCCCCGGCUAACUUCGUGCCAGCCGCCGCGGUAA
rnacentral:rRNA from 1 species